AACGAACGCUGGCGGCAUGCCUAACACAUGCAAGUCGAACGAUACCUUCGGGUCUAGUGGCGACCGGGUGCGUAACGCGUGGUAACCUGCCCUUAGGUUCGGAAUCACUCCCCGAAAGGGGUGCUAAUAUCUGAUAAUGUCUCCGGACCAAAGAUUUAUCGCCUUUGGAUGGGCCCGCGUUGGAUUAGCUAGUUGGUAGGGUAACAGCCUACCAAGGCGACGAUCCAUAGCUGGUCAGAGAGGAUGAUCAGACACACUGGUACUGAGACACGGCCCAGAAUCCUACGGGAGGCAGCAGUGGGGAAUAUUGGAAAAUGGGCGGAAGCAUGAUGCAGCAAUGCCGCGUGAGUGAUGAAGGACUUAGGGUUGUAAAGCUCUUUUACACGGAAUGAUAAUGACGGUACCGGAAGAAUAAGCUCCGGCUAACUACGUG
rnacentral:rRNA from 1 species